rnacentral:rRNA from 1 species
AUUGAACGCUGGCGGCAUGAUUUACACAUGCAAGUCGAACGGUAACAGGCCGCAAGGUGCUGACGAGUGGCGAACGGGUGAGUAAUGCAUCGGAACGUGCCCAGUCGUGGGGGAUAACUACUCGAAAGAGUAGCUAAUACCGCAUACGAUCUAUGGAUGAAAGCGGGGGACCGUAAGGCCUCGCGCGAUUGGAGCGGCCGAUGUCAGAUUAGGUAGUUGGUGGGGUAAAGGCUCACCAAGCCAACGAUCUGUAGCUGGUCUGAGAGGACGACCAACCACACUGGGACUGAGACACGGCCCAGACUCCUACGGGAGGCAGCAGUGGGGAAUUUUGGACAAUGGGCGCAAGCCUGAUCCAGCAAUGCCGCGUGCAGGAAGAAGGCCUUCGGGUUGUAAACUGCUUUUGUACGGAACGAAACGGCUCUGGUUAAUACCCGGGGCUAAUGACGGUACCGUAAGAAUAAGCACCGGCUAACUACGUG